rnacentral:rRNA from 1 species
AUUGAACGCUGGCGGCAGGCUUAACACAUGCAAGUCGAACGAGUGGCGGACGGGGGAGUAAUGCUUGGGGAUCUAGCUGAUGGAGGGGGAUAACUACGGGAAACUGUAGCUAAUACCGCGUACUAUAGGAUGAGCCCAAGUGGGAUUAGGUAGUUGGUGGGGUAAAGGCUCACAAAGCCGACGAUCUCUAGCUGGUCUGAGAGGAUGACCAGCCACACUGGGACUGAGACACGGCCCAGACGCCUACGGGAGGCAGCAUUGGGGAAUAUGGCGCAAUGGGGGCAACCUGACGCAGCCAUGCCGCGUGAAUGAAGAAGGCCUGCGGGUUGUAAAGUUCUUUCGGUAGCGAGGCGUUAACUACAGAAGAAGCACCGGCUAACGCCGUGCCAGCAGCCGCGGUAAUAC